ensembl:snoRNA
GUUCAGUGAUGUUUAACAAAUGUCUGACCUGAACUAUAAUGUGGACAAAUAUCUGUAGCUGAGAAA